UCGAUUCCCUUAGUAGCGGCGAGCGAAACGGGAAGAGCCCAAACCAACAAGCUUGCUUGUUGGGGUUGUAGGACACUCUAUACGGAGUUACAAAGGACGACAUUAGACGAAUCAUCUGGAAAGAUGAAUCAAAGAAGGUAAUAAUCCUGUAGUCGAAAAUGUUGUCUCUCUUGAGUGGAUCCUGAGUACGACGGAGCACGUGAAAUUCCGUCGGAAUCUGGGAGGACCAUCUCCUAAGGCUAAAUACUCUCUAGUGACCGAUAGUGAACCAGUACCGUGAGGGAAAGGUGAAAAGCACCCCGGAAGGGGAGUGAAAUAGAACCUGAAACCGUGUGCUUACAAGUAGUCAGAGCCCGUUAAUGGGUGAUGGCGUGCCUUUUGUAGAAUGAACCGGCGAGUUACGAUUUGAUGCAAGGUUAAGCAGUAAAUGUGGAGCCGUAGCGAAAGCGAGUCUGAAUAGGGCGUUUAGUAUUUGGUCGUAGACCCGAAACCAGGUGAUCUACCCUUGGUCAGGUUGAAGUUCAGGUAACACUGAAUGGAGGACCGAACCGACUUACGUUGAAAAGUGAGCGGAUGAACUGAGGGUAGCGGAGAAAUUCCAAUCGAACCUGGAGAUAGCUGGUUCUCUCCGAAAUAGCUUUAGGGCUAGCCUCAAGUGAUGAUUAUUGGAGGUAGAGCACUGUUUGGACGAGGGGCCCCUCUCGGGUUACCGAAUUCAGACAAACUCCGAAUGCCAAUUAAUUUAACUUGGGAGUCAGAACAUGGGUGAUAAGGUCCGUGUUC
rnacentral:rRNA from 1 species